rnacentral:rRNA from 1 species
AUUGAACGCUGGCGGAAUGCUUUACACAUGCAAGUCGAACGGCAGCACGGGGGCAACCCUGGUGGCGAGUGGCGAACGGGUGAGUAAUACAUCGGAACGUGCCCAGUCGCGGGGGAUAACUACGCGAAAGCGUAGCUAAUACCGCAUACGAUCUACGGAUGAAAGCGGGGGACUCGCAAGAGCCUCGCGCGAUUGGAGCGGCCGAUGGCAGAUUAGGUAGUUGGG